GUCCACGUAGCUCAGCUGGAUAGAGCACGCGCCUCCUAAGCGCGGUGCCGGAGGUUCAAAUCCUCUCGUGGACGCCA
rnacentral:tRNA from 1 species